UGGGGGAUAUUGCACAAUGGGCGAAAGCCUGAUGCAGCGACGCCGCGUGGGGGACGAAGGCCUUCGGGUUGUAAACUUCUUUUGCUCUGAACAAGGCGCACCAUGGGGUGUGUUGAGUGUAGGGGUUGAUUAGCGCCGGCUAACUACGUGCCAGCAGCCGCGGUAAUACGUAGGGCGCGAGCGUUGUCCGGAAUUAUUGGGCGUAAAGGGCUUGUAGGUGGCUGGUUGCGUCUGUCGUGAAAGCUCAUGGCUUAACUGUGGGUUUGCGGUGGGUACGGGCUGGCUUGAGUGCAGUAGGGGAGGCUGGAAUUCCUGGUAUAGCGGUGGAAUGCGCAGAUAUCAGGAGGAAUACCGGUGGCGAAGGCGGGUCUCUGGGCUGUUACUGACACUGAGGAGCGAAAGCAUGGGGAGCGAACAGG
rnacentral:rRNA from 1 species